rnacentral:rRNA from 1 species
UAUCUCUGUAGAGUCUGCAUAUCAAUAAGCGGAGGAAAAGAAACUAACUAGGAUUCCCUCAGUAACGGCGAGUGAAGCGGGAAGAGCUCAAAUUUGAAAUCUUCAAGGUUUUACCUUGACGAAUUGUAGUUUAAAGAAGUGUUUUCUGUUGGAGUUUUGGUAAAAGUUCUUUGGAAUAGGACAUCAUAGAGGGUGAGAAUCCCGUAUUUGACCAUUAUUUCAGCUUUGUGAUACACUUUCAAAGAGUCGGAUUGUUUGGGAAUGCAGUCCAAAAUGGGUGGUAAAUUUCAUCUAAAGCUAAAUAUUGGCGAGAGACCGAUAGCGAACAAGUACCGUGAGGGAAAGAUGAAAAGAACUUUGAAAAGAGAGUUAAACAGUACGUGAAAUUGUCAAAAGGGAAGCGUUUGACACCAGUGUUGUUUUCUCGAAAAUCAAUUAAAAAUGGCGGGAUUUUGUGUUGUAUUGACUUUAUCAGCUUUCUGCACUUUUUUCCUGUCUUUUUUAAUGCACUUUUCGUUUAACAAGUCAACAUCAAUUUCUUUUGUUGUAAAAGGGUCAUUGGAAGGUGGCUUUCUUUUCGGAGAAAGUGUUUAUAGCCUUUGGCCUCUGCAAUCGGAGAGAUUGAGGUCUGCAGCGUAGAUCCUUCGGGGUUAGAUACAUUUGUGCUAAGUUAUAGCCUUUCAUAGACAACUUGUUGACUAUGAUCAGUCAUGUAGCUUACUCGCUUAUGCUAUUUUACCUACGCUUAGGAUGUUGAGUCAUCACACAUCUCU